rnacentral:rRNA from 1 species
GGGUUUGAUCCUGGCUCAGAUGAACGCUGGCGGCGUGCCUUAUACAUGCAAGUCGAGCGAACGGACGAGAAGCUUGCUUCUCUGAUGUUAGCGGCGGACGGGUGAGUAACACGUGGAUAACCUACCUAUAAGACUGGGAUAACUUCGGGAAACCGGAGCUAAUACCGGAUAAUAUUUUGAACCGCAUGGUUCAAAAGUGAAAGACGGUCUUGCUGUCACUUAUAGAUGGAUCCGCGCUGCAUUAGCUAGUUGGUAAGGUAACGGCUUACCAAGGCAACGAUGCAUAGCCGACCUGAGAGGGUGAUCGGCCACACUGGAACUGAGACACGGUCCAGACUCCUACGGGAGGCAGCAGUAGGGAAUCUUCCGCAAUGGGCGAAAGCCUGACGGAGCAACGCCGCGUGAGUGAUGAAGGUCUUCGGAUCGUAAAACUCUGUUAUUAGGGAAGAACAUAUGUGUAAGUAACUGUGCACAUCUUGACGGUACCUAAUCAGAAAGCCACGGCUAACUACGUGCCAGCAGCCGCGGUAAUACGUAGGUGGCAAGCGUUAUCCGGAAUUAUUGGGCGUAAAGCGCGCGUAGGCGGUUUUUUAAGUCUGAUGUGAAAGCCCACGGCUCAACCGUGGAGGGUCAUUGGAAACUGGAAAACUUGAGUGCAGAAGAGGAAAGUGGAAUUCCAUGUGUAGCGGUGAAAUGCGCAGAGAUAUGGAGGAACACCAGUGGCGAAGGCGACUUUCUGGUCUGUAACUGACGCUGAUGUGCGAAAGCGUGGGGAUCAAACAGGAUUAGAUACCCUGGUAGUCCACGCCGUAAACGAUGAGUGCUAAGUGUUAGGGGGUUUCCGCCCCUUAGUGCUGCAGCUAACGCAUUAAGCACUCCGCCUGGGGAGUACGACCGCAAGGUUGAAACUUAAAGGAAUUGACGGC